UGCGACAAACCAAAAAUAUUCUAUUUCAAAUGAGAAGAUUUUUCUGAAAAGAUUCUGUUUCGCAAUUUUGAGGAAAUCUUGGUUCCUCUGAAUCCUCAUAACAGAAUGCCAUCCACAUGACUUUUGAGUUUGGUAGUUCAAUUAAUGUUGUACUGUGCUCAGUUUAAUAUACAACUUCUAUUGGUUUCUGCAUAUGAAGGAUGUUAUGCAAUAGAUUCGUCGAUGCAUGAAUUUCUAAUAAGCUUGUCUAAUAUGACCAACAAGAUGCAAAUAGGGGAGACAUGGACAAUCUUGGUCGAGAUGAGAUCAAAAGCUCAACAUCGAUGUAUCCAGUGCUUAAUUAGUUAGCUCGUUCAAAGGAUCUCUGGAUGGUCUUUAGUGUUAUGCUACAAGCCUCAAUAUUGGGAUGAAAGCGGAUAGAGAUGUACGGUACCAAAGUCCAGCAACAAGAAAACCAUUGAACAUUGAAGCAAAACCCAGUUGAAUGCCCCAUGUUGUGUAUGUGUACAAAAGGUUUUCCAGGGGGUUGGCGGUGAGGUGGAGACACAGCUACCAAUAUUUAUUGGUGACGCCCAAAGAGCUCCCACAAGAAGUGAAUAAAGACAGUUUUCCUUAUUAAUGUCACUUGC